rnacentral:rRNA from 1 species
AGAGUUUGAUCAUGGCUCAGGAUGAACGCUAGCUACAGGCUUAACACAUGCAAGUCGAGGGGAAACGACAUCGAAAGCUUGCUUUUGAUGGGCGUCGACCGGCGCACGGGUGAGUAACGCGUAUCCAACCUGCCCAUCACUUGGGGAUAACCUUGCGAAAGUAAGACUAAUACCCAAUGAUAUCUCUAGAAGACAUCUGAAAGAGAUUAAAGAUUUAUCGGUGAUGGAUGGGGAUGCGUCUGAUUAGCUUGUUGGCGGGGUAACGGCCACCAAGGCUACGAUCAGUAGGGGUUCUGAGAGGAAGGUCCCCCCACAUUGGAACUGAGACACGGGUCCAAACUCCUACGGGAGGCA